CCAUGGGUGUUGCUGCCAGCAGCUCACAAUUGGACGCCUCUUCAGAGAAUUGUCCUUGGGCCGUUGGAGCUGCCUAGCCUGGCGGGGUCUGGGACUUAUGCCCUGACUCCCUCUGUCAUCACUCAGGGCACACCGGAGCCAAUGACUGGCCAGUGCAGGACUCAAAAGACUCACUCUCUCAUCUCAAGAAUCACCGUGUGAGAUAGACACCUUCAGUGUCCCCAUUUGACAGAUGAGGAAAUUGAGCCUGGAGAGAUUCAGAACUUACUGAGAUCACACAGCCGAUCAGGGGCCGAGCUGGGCUUUAAACCCAGGCAGAACUACUCAAUAUACUGGACUCUUUAUUCUACAAGUGCAGCCUCUCAGAUGGUGUCCUUAUUGUUUGGGAUGUCUGUCCUCACUCCCCACUGCUGUUCUGCUUCCUUUGCCCUUCUUAAAUAAACUCAUUGUUGAAAAUA